rnacentral:rRNA from 1 species
UGAGGAAUAUUGGUCAAUGGGUGCAAGCCUGAACCAGCCAUCCCGCGUGAAGGACGACUGCCCUAUGGGUUGUAAACUUCUUUUGUAUAGGGAUAAACCUACCCUCGUGAGGGUAGCUGAAGGUACUAUACGAAUAAGCACCGGCUAACUCCGUGCCAGCAGCCGCGGUAAUACGGAGGGUGCAAACGUUAUCCGGAUUUAUUGGGUUUAAAGGGUCCGUAGGCGGACUUAUAAGUCAGUGGUGAAAGCCUGUCGCUUAACGAUAGAACUGCCAUUGAUACUGUAAGUCUUGAGUAUAUUUGAGGUAGCUGGAAUAAGUAGUGUAGCGGUGAAAUGCAUAGAUAUUACUUAGAACACCAAUUGCGAAGGCAGGUUACCAAGAUAUAACUGACGCUGAGGGACGAAAGCGUGGGGAGCGAACAGGAUUAGAUACCCUGGUAGUCCACGCCGUAAACGAUGCUAACUCGUUUUUGGGCUUUAGGGUUCAGAGACCAAGCGAAAGUGAUAAGUUAGCCACCUGGGGAGUACG